CCGCCGCAGCUCCGGCCCUUUAAGAAAAAACCCUAGGAGAGCCCUGGGACUCACCGCUCCUGCAGCGGCCUCGGGGCUUUGUGGGGCUCGUGCAGAGCUCCCCACGUGGUGCAGGGCAGUGGGAAUCGCCCCCAACCUGCAGGAGCGAUACUUUAAAGAAAUCAAUAGAUUUCAGCGUCUACAGCUUUUUUUGUUGUUGUUGGGCUUUUUGACAUUUCAGAUAUUCAUUCCCUUGAAGAUCUGAGAUUUCUUGUGAAGAGCCAGCAUCAGGUGUUCACAUCAUAGACAUUUACAAGUAACCAGCGGUAGAAGUUUCUGUGCAGAGGACACAUGACCAGGAAGAAAAGUCUUGUUGUUCUACAAAACCUAGAGCAUUGCAAGAAACAGAGGAAGUGGGAAGACUUCAUCCAUCCUACAUUUAUUUAUACUACAAGUGGUAUUUUGCUCUUUUGCUGUGCCAUGAAAUUCAGAUGGUAAAAAUUAAUAAAGUCAUCUUUCUUUCUAAA